rnacentral:rRNA from 1 species
GAUGAACGCUGGCUACAGGCUUAACACAUGCAAGUCGAGGGGAAACGACGGGGAAGCUUGCUUCCCCGGGCGUCGACCGGCGCACGGGUGAGUAACGCGUAUCCAACCUGCCUCUGACUGAGGGAUAACCCGUCGAAAGUCGGCCUAAUACCUCAUGGCAUCGUCUGCGGGCAUCCAACGACGAUUAAAGAUUUCAUCGGUCAGGGAUGGGGAUGCGUCUGAUUAGCUUGUUGGCGGGGUAACGGCCCACCAAGGCUACGAUCAGUAGGGGUUCUGAGAGGAAGGUCCCCCACAUUGGAACUGAGACACGGUCCAAACUCCUACGGGAGGCAGCAGUGAGGAAUAUUGGGCAAUGGGCGGGAGCCUGAACCAGCCAAGUAGCGUGCAGGAUGACGGCCCUAUGGGUUGUAAACUGCUUUUAUGCGGGGAUAAAGUGAGGGACGUGUCCUUCAUUGCAGGUACCGCAUGAAUAAGGACCGGCUAAUUCCGUG